AAUACUUUAGUUUUAUAGUUAUUUAUAGCCCUCUUGUGAUUUCAAUAGCUAAUUCCUGUUGAUCUGUUAUUUACUAGUAAUCUAUUUGUCUUACUCAACUACUCUGAUGUCUGUACUUUUUGAUCCGGUUUGGCUUUUCGGCACUGUGUUUUCUGGAAUACAUGAACUUGGCUUGUUUUCCUUGACUCCGAUACUCUGCUUGCUAAAAGCAUUGCUUUAAACCUGGCUACACUAAGGUCCAGUAACAUUCUACUAGCCUUUGCUCUUCUUUUGAGUAACAUAGAUUUAAACACAUGAUGUAGGGUGUGCAUGCUUAUCUAGACAUUACAACAGGACCAUGUACCUAACAGGCUUAAAUCCUCAGGUGGUGAAUUAUGAGGCUUAGAUCAAUUCAUUCAAGCAAUGCAGACCUUGUUUACUUGUACUGCUAAAUUGAAAACUGAAGCUUAGUCUCUCUCAGCCUCCUCUACAAUCUCUCCUGUUCCGGAUACCCAGGGUGCCCUCAGCAAGCCUUCUGGCUUGACUUUCUUUCCAGGCAGGCAUGAUGGUCUCUGUUUCUGUCCAGGUUUGAUUUCAUUAAUACAUAUAGACCUGAUUCAAUAAUCACUAAGACAGACGUCCUGUCCAUGCAACAUGAACUGUUAGACAUCGAGGAAACCGAACAUUUUUUUUUGUCAUGUCCAAAGGUAAAUUAUUAACGUCUACUUAUAUACCUACUCCUGGAAGGUAUACAGGCUGCCGCGGGAGAAGCUUCUCCCUUGAUGCCUUGAAAAACAUGGUUUGUCCAUGAGCUUUAAAGGAUACCCUUAUUAUAUAAAUUUCACUGCAGUAUGGUACCUGGCCAUCCAUGGAUUCACAAGGCUAUUUCUCAACAAUUCUGGUUGCCUUCUGAUGUUAAUACUUUUGUGAAAGUCUGUCAAACUUGUGAACAGACAAAGUCUUCCCAUGCAUUUCCAUAUAUUCUGGCCUUUUACAACCCCUUCCUCUUCAUCAUUGUAGGUUCACGAAAAUGGCCUACUUUGUUCCUUUGCCUAAAUGACAUACUUUUUCUGAACUGGAUGUUAUCUUUGCCAAUGAAGUAUUUACACUUCACGGUAUCCUUAGUGAGAUUGUUUUGGAUAGAAGGAUCCAGUUUGUAUCUUGCUCUUAGAGAGCUUUUUGUUCUGAAAUGGAUAUUCAGCUGACCUUCUCGAAAACUUAUCACACUCAAACUAAUCGGGCAGUCAAAAGAGCUAACCAAACCUUGGAACAGUACCUACGUUGUUUUAUAUCACAACACCAGGACAAUUGGUCUGCCUGCUCCUAUAGGCUGAAUUUGUCCCAACACAGUCCUUUCCAUGUCAAUUUUGGGUUUUACUCUACGAUUUUCCCCUUUCAUUUUCCGCCAGGUAAAUGCCAACUGUGGAUGAACACCUCAAAACUUACAGGACACCUGGGAGCGGGACCAGAGCAUUCUGCUCAAGGCACAGUCCAUCCAGAAAGCAUAUGCUCCCAAACGUCUUCAGGUUGCCACAACUAUCAAGUAGUUGAUAGUGUUUUGGCUG